UACGGAGGGUGCUAGCGUUGUUCGGAAUCACUGGGCGUAAAGCGCGUGUAGGCGGCCCAUUAAGUCUGAUGUGAAAGCCCGGGGCUCACCCCCGGAAGUGCAUUGGAAACUGAUGGGCUGGAGUCCCGGAGAGGAGGGUGGAAUUCCUGGUGUAGCGGUGAAAUGCGUAGAUAUCAGGAGGAACACCGGUGGCGAAGGCGGCCCUCUGGACGGUGACUGACGCUGAGACGCGAAAGCGUGGGGAGCAAACGGG
rnacentral:rRNA from 1 species